GAGUUUGAUCCUGGCUCAGAUUGAACGCUGGCGGCAGGCUUAACACAUGCAAGUCGAGCGGUAACAGGUCCUUCGGGAUGCUGACGAGCGGCGGACGGGUGAGUAAUGCAUAGGAAUCUGCCCGGUAGUGGGGGAUAACCUGGGGAAACCCAGGCUAAUACCGCAUGCGUCCUACGGGAGAAAGGGGGCUCCGGCUCCCGCUAUUGGAUGAGCCUAUGUCGGAUUAGCUAGUUGGUGAGGUAAUGGCUCACCAAGGCAACGAUCCGUAGCUGGUCUGAGAGGAUGAUCAGCCACAUCGGGACUGAGACACGGCCCGAACUCCUACGGGAGGCAGCAGUGGGGAAUAUUGGACAAUGGGGGCAACCCUGAUCCAGCCAUGCCGCGUGUGUGAAGAAGGCCCUCGGGUUGUAAAGCACUUUCAGCGAGGAAGAACGCCUGGCGGUUAAUACCCGCCAGGAAAGACAUCACUCGCAGAAGAAGCACCGGCUAACUCCGUGCCAGCAGCCGCGGUAAUACGGAGGGUGCAAGCGUUAAUCGGAAUUACUGGGCGUAAAGCGCGCGUAGGUGGCUUGAUAAGCCGGUUGUGAAAGCCCCGGGCUCAACCUGGGAACGGCAUCCGGAACUGUCAGGCUAGAGUGCAGGAGAGGAAGGUAGAAUUCCCGGUGUAGCGGUGAAAUGCGUAGAGAUCGGGAGGAAUACCAGUGGCGAAGGCGGCCUUCUGGUCUGUAAUUGACGCUGAGGCUCGAAAGCGUGGGGAGCGAACAGGAUUAGAUACCCUGGUAGUCCACGCCGUAAACGAUGUCAACUAGCCGUUGGGACUCUUGAAGUCUUAGUGGCGCAGCUAACGCACUAAGUUGACCGCCUGGGGAGUACGGCCGCAAGGUUAAAACUCAAAUGAAUUGACGGGGGCCCGCACAAGCGGUGGAGCAUGUGGUUUAAUUCGACGCAACGCGAAGAACCUUACCUACCCUUGACAUCCUGCGAACCCGGAAGAGAUUCCGGGGUGCCUUCGGGAACGCAGAGACAGGUGCUGCAUGGCUGUCGUCAGCUCGUGUUGUGAAAUGUUGGGUUAAGUCCCGUAACGAGCGCAACCCUUGUCCUUAUUUGCCAGCACGUAAUGGUGGGAACUCUAAGGAGACUGCCGGUGACAAACCGGAGGAAGGUAGGGACGACGUCAAGUCAUCAUGGCCCUUACGGGUAGGGCUACACACGUGCUACAAUGGCCGGUACAAAGGGCUGCGAGCUCGCGAGAGUCAGCGAAUCCCUUAAAGCCGGUCUCAGUCCGGAUCGGAGACUGCAACUCGACUCCGUGAAGUCGGAAUCGCUAGUAAUCGUAGAUCAGAAUGCUACGGUGAAUACGUUCCCGGGCCUUGUACACACCGCCCGUCACACCAUGGGAGUGGACUGCACCAGAAGUGGUUAGCCUAACGCAAGAGGGCGAUCACCACGGUGUGGUUCAUGACUGGGGUGAAGUCGUAACAAGGUAACC
rnacentral:rRNA from 1 species